rnacentral:lncRNA from 1 species
UUACAGUCUUACCAGCACCAGAUUCUCCGGUGAUGAGCAUGGACUGGUUCUCACGAUUGCGCAGCAUGUCGUUGUAGGCGUUGUCAGCGAUGGAGUAGAUGUGUGGCGGUGCCUCGGAGCGCCGCUUCCCCUUGUAGGCCGCCACCACGGGCGCAGUGUAGACCGGCAGCCAUUUGUAGGGGUUGAUGGUGACGCAGAAGAGCCCCGAAUAGGUCUGUGGGUGGGAAGGGGGUGGCUGAGGUGACCGGGAGCCCCGGCAGCCCUCCCCCUCAUGGCGGGGGGAGAGAGGCAGGGACCCCCCGGCGGCGGCGGCUUACAUAGAUCAUCCAGUGGGAGUAGCGGCGCUUGAGGUUGUAGAGCACGGAGGCCUCGUUGAGAUGCGUCAGCAUGGCCAUGUCUUCAAUCAUGUCGAACUUGGGGGGGUUCAUGGCCUGCAGCUCAUCUUCCUUCACCACCCGCGUCUGCCAGAGUGACAUGGAGGCAUUGGGCUUGGACCCGGUGCAGCCUCCAGCCCUACAUCUUCCCAGCUCCACUAUGGAGACCUUUCUCUGAGAGUGCCACCUCUGCCCCAUGGGAUCCUCCUGCC